rnacentral:rRNA from 1 species
AACGAACGCUGGCGGCAUGCCUAACACAUGCAAGUCGAACGAGAUCUUCGGGUCUAGUGGCGCACGGGUGCGUAACGCGUGGGAAUCUGCCCUCUGGUUCGGAAUAACAGUUGGAAACGACUGCUAAUACCGGAUGAUGACGAAAGUCCAAAGAUUUAUCGCCAGAGGAUGAGCCCGCGUAGGAUUAGCUAGUUGGUGUGGUAAAGGCGCACCAAGGCGACGAUCCUUAGCUGGUCUGAGAGGAUGAUCAGCCACACUGGGAGUGAGACACGGCCCAGACUCCUACGGGAGGCAGCAGUGGGGAAUAUUGGACAAUGGGCGAAAUCCUGAUCCAGCAAUGCCGCGUGAGUGAUGAAGGCCUUAGGGUUGUAAAGCUCUUUUACCCGGGAUGAUAAUGACAGUACCGGGAGGAUAAGCUCCGGCUAACUCCGUGCCAGCCGCCGCCGUAA